ACCGUUUCGUGGAUUUUGUUGUCGAGGCUCUGGAUUUCUUGUUGACUUGCAGUCGAUAAUAGGAAAUUGUUCAUCUGUGUUUUUAACGUAUCGUCAACUUCCACGUCUAUGUCGUAACACGCAGUUUGUUUCGUUUCUGUACCUUCGACACUAAUAACGUGAUUGAUCACGAUCGGGUCUGGAGGAUGGAGCAAUGGAUUUAAACGCUGUGGUAUUUCUGCGAAUUUCAUCCUUGAGCAGGCGAAUAUUUGUUCGAGAUAUUUAUCACAGUUUAUGAAUUCCCUUUCGUGACUGUCUUGAAGCUUGUGUGUCUUUAUGUACUGCCAAAGAGCAGAGAUGAUAACAGGUCGCGUUUGGGUAUGUACACCUAGAAGUCGGGCUAAUCUAGGAUCUAGCUUAAACUGCAACCAAAAAAUUUCUGUUAAAUUCUAAUUCAGCUUACAUUUAUUUUAUUCAUAAAUAAGGAUGUACGAGAACCAGAGGAUGUCAAACUGAGAAAAUUUAAUUAACUUAAAUUAAAGUAGUCAGAGACAAUUAGAAUGUUAAGCAUUUGUAAUUUUACAAAUUUUAGUACAUCCCUUUUAUUUAAAAGAAAUGUUACUUGUAAGGGUUGAUAGUCGAGAAGCAAGAGAAUAGUGCAUCGAACAUUUUUAUCUCCAGGUCUUUUUACUUGGAAACCAUCAGUUUCUUGUGUUGUCAAUGUACGGUGCCAUUCAACCAAGUGAUUAUCAGGUCCAUAUAAAUCUUUAUCCAAUUCUAUAAC